UCCAGACUCCUACGGGAGGCAGCAGUGGGGGAUAUUGCACAAUGGGGGAAACCCUGAUGCAGCGACGCCGCGUGAGUGAAGAAGUAUUUCGGUAUGUAAAGCUCUAUCAGCAGGGAAGAAAAAAGACGGUACCUGACUAAGAAGCCCCGGCUAACUACGUGCCAGCAGCCGCGGUAAUACGUAGGGGGCAAGCGUUAUCCGGAUUUACUGGGUGUAAAGGGAGCGUAGACGGCAAUACAAGUCGGAAGUGAAAUACCCGGGCUCAACCUGGGAACUGCUUUGGAAACUGUAUGGCUGGAGUGCUGGAGAGGUAAGCGGAAUUCCUAGUGUAGCGGUGAAAUGCGUAGAUAUUAGGAGGAACACCGGUGGCGAAGGCGGCUUACUGGACUGUAACUGACGUUGAGGCUCGAAAGCGUGGGGAGCAAACAGGAUUAGAUACCCGCGUAAG
rnacentral:rRNA from 1 species